rnacentral:tRNA from 6 species
GGAGGGGUGGCCGAGUGGUCGAAGGCGCUUGAUUCGAAAUCAAGUGUACCUUCACGGGUACCGUGGGUUCGAAUCCCACCCCCUCCG